CUGUACAUAAUGCAUGCAGUACAUACCUGCGAAGUUCGUUCGUGAGCUGAGCCUGGGCCUGCCUGUGAUUUGAAUUGGAUUGGGGAACUCAUUGGCAUCAGUCCUGGGGGUCCAGUAAAGAGUGGAGGAAAGAAGAAGAAGAAAUCGGCCGUGUCUCCAAAGAUAAUUGCCCUCCUUCGUGGAAUCGUAGAGUUCGAAUCUGACUGGAAAACAGAGUAGCAGACAUCCAGCUCUCAUUUUUUAUGCUUCUGUCAAUUUGUUUUGAGAUGUGCUUUAUUAUGCACGAUUUUUAUUGUGACGAAUACAUGGAUGAGACAAUGUGAUGUAAGAAACCUGUAAAUUUCUAUUAUUUGUGCCUCAUCUUGAAAGCCUUUUCUCAACAUCCCCAACAUAAUGCAAAUAAAAUAUAUAUAAGUAUUAGUAUAGUAUAGGAUGUAUGCAUCCAGAUGUGAAAGGCUUUGAUUUUUGGAAAGAGCCAAGAUAGUCCUUGCCAAGGAACAAAGUGAGUUUUUUAGAUUUUGUUGGUAAUGUAAGAAAACCUCAGCAGGUCCUAUUUAUAAUUUUAUACCUAUAUAAUUUGUAUAUUUGUUCUUUUGAAGGUUGUUUAUAGUGUUUUCUUGAUGAUAUAUGCUACAGUAUGCAAACAUUAUACCAUGUUGGUGUUUACCCUGGUCAACUUUAUAUACAGGGUGUCCCAUGAACAAUGCCUGACACACUUCUGAUAGCACACAGAUCAACUUAUUAAUACCAUUGGUAAGAGCAACAUUUCCUUAAGGCCCUGUCACAUUAGGCUUGCAUGUGACUUGCAAGGAAAUUUGUUUUGCUACCCAGGGGUCUGCGAUACUGCGAUACAACAAUAUUACAUUUUGAAAUAGUUGAGAAGAGGAUCGGUUGAAAAAUACAAAUUUUUGAGGUGCUGAGUAUGUACUAAUUUGUGUUUUCAAAGGUUGGCAGCUAUGCUAUGUACAUCAUCUUCAUCUUUUAUUGGAAACAUGUACAUAUUUUUCAUUGAGGCAAGUGGGUAUUUUGAGAACAAAAAUAGACAUUUGUAUGCUGUUUAGGAAAAUAAUGUACAUUAUGCCAUCUUCAAUCAUGAGAACUGAUGGCCAUAUUAAUUUGAUAUUCUUGGCCCGAACUCACAAAGGAGGCUUAAAGGAGAAUAAAAGUUAGACAGUCGCAUGAUUUCAGUGAAUGGAGAAGAACAACAAGACUUAACAGUAAAAGUUUGAGCAAAUUUGGAUAAUCCGUUUUCGAGUUAUGUAUUUUUGAAGUUUUAGAAAAUCCUUAUUAUGGACUUCCUUAAGUUGGCAACUUCGCCAGAAUUUGUGAUGUCAUUGUGCUCAACUCUCCAUUGGUUAUGUACAGAGAGUUUCACUUUUUUCUAAUUUUCAUCAAAAAUAAUAUUUCCGCCAGUGUAUUUUGUUUUUGUAUGACAUGGCUACAUCAAUUCUGCAGUAUGUCUGAAAGAAUCAAUACAAUUGCCCUUUUAAUAUUUUAUAAAAAUAAAAUGUUGUGAAACUCUCUGUACAUAACCAAUGGAGAGUUGAGCACAAUGACAUCACAAAUUCUAGCGGAAUUGCCAACUUAAGGAAGUCCAUAAUAAGGAUUUUUUAAAACUUCAAAAAUCCAUAACCCAAAAAAGGAUUAUCCAAAUUUGCUCAAACUUUUACUGUUAAGUCUCAUUGGUAUUCUCCAUUCACUGAAAUCAUGUAAAUGUCUGACUUUCAUUCUCCUUUAAACUCUGUGGGGGGUUAAAUCAUGGUCUAUGUAGAUUUUGUGUAUAAUUUGCGCUUAAUUUAGCGUGUAUGCUGAGAAAGGUCCAAUAUGAAGGCACGCUGUAUGGCAAAGGGCGCUCAAUUCAUGCUUGUUGCUAUGAUUUUAAACCAUAGCUUUAAACCAUGGCAAAAAUCAUGAAUUUCUAGUACUUUGCCAAAAGCGUGCAUUUAUACUGGAUCUUUGUCAGCUAAUCAUACACAAAAUCUGCAUAAACCAUGGUCUAAACUUAAACUUCCUUUGUGAAUUCCGACCAUUGAGUGUGUGACCCUCAAAUCGAGCAGAAUUGCAUCAAAAUAUCAUCAGGUUAGAUUUAGUGUGCAUUUUGUUUACAUUUUCUAUGUUACAAUGGACAUGUUUGAAAUAGACCCCCCCCCCCCCCCGGCACAGUUUUAGCAUUGUUAUAGCACAUCUGAAAGAGCACCUCAAAGUGGUCUUAGGGAUCCCGUUAGAAUUUGGUUUAGAUGGUUGAUUGGAAGGCUUCUCUUCUACCCAACCAGAAGAGCGACAUGUUAUGAUCCUUGGACUGUGAUUUGUAUUUUUCUGCACUUCACACUAUUUGCAAUAUGAUAUCUGAUCAUGCCAAUCAUUUAUUUUUUUAGAAAUGUGUUAAAUUAUGUUUUGUAUGUGUUUAAAUAUGCCAAUCACAUACAAGUCAUGUGUUGCAGUAGGUUCUAUGCCUCCAGAUUUUAAAGGUUUUCAUUAUUGGUUUGAGCCAAAAUAAUCUUUGUAAAGGAAUGAAGAAUGCAGGUGCCCUUUUCUUUAGGCAUCUAUACAGGGUGAGUCAGAAAAAAAAAGUCCACUUUCAAAAAUCUA
rnacentral:lncRNA from 1 species